GACGGAGGGUGCUAGCGUUGUUCGGAAUUACUGGGCGUAAAGGGCGCGUAGGCGGCCGUUUGCGUCGGAUGUGAAAGCCCGGGGCUCAACCCCGGAACGGCAUCCGAUACGGGACGGCUGGAGACCGGGAGAGGAGGGUGGAAUAGCCAGUGUAGAGGUGAAAUUCGUAGAUAUUGGCUGGAACACCAGUGGCGAAGGCGACUACCUGGCCUGUUCUUGACGCUGAGGCGCGAAAGCUAGGGUAGCAAACGGG
rnacentral:rRNA from 1 species